AAAGUCGUAACAAGGUUUCCGUAGGUGAACCUGCGGAAGGAUCAUUACAAAUCCACGUCUCUUUUGAGACAAGUUGAAAUGUUGGAAGAGGGUGCGAGUAAUACAAGGGAAAGAGUUUACUACUCUCUCCCUCUGUUUCUUCACCCUCUAUCCCCCCCUUUAACAAGUGUUGAUCAGUUGUAUAACAACAAAAUACAAACUUACACAACUUAUAACAAUGGAUCUCUAGGCUCUU
rnacentral:misc_RNA from 1 species